UACGUAGGGGGGCUAGCGUUGUCCGGAUUUAUUGGGCGUAAAGAGCGUGUAGGCGGCUUGGCAAGUCUGCUGUGAAACUCGAGGCUCAACCUCGAGCUGUCGGUGGAAACUGCUUGGCUAGAGUCCGGAAGAGGAGAGUGGAAUUCCUGGUGUAGCGGUGAAAUGCGCAGAUAUCAGGAAGAGCACCUAUGGCGAAGGCAGCUCUCUGGGACGGUACUGACGCUGAGACGCGAAAGCGUGGGGAGCGAACAGG
rnacentral:rRNA from 1 species